CUGAAAACUAGGAAAUGAUCAAAACAGUUUUCGAUUUGUUACACAUCUAAAGGAGAAUAAACAUGACUACAAUUCUCAAGUUUGCUUACAUUAUGAUCAUAUGUCUUUUCCUUUUCCUGCUUCAUGUUGCAGCCCAAAAAGAUUUAAAAGUUUUUACCUGCCAGAGAGACGAGGAUUGCAAAGUCGCGUGUGCCACAUAUGGUGGUGAUCCAUGGUGCUUUCGGAAUGUCUGUUUCUGCAAGCAUUACAAUGAAGGGGGGACACUGCAUGCAGAAUUACAUUGAAUUGUAAUAAAUAAAGAUGUAAUCAUGUGAAAUAAUUAUUAAAGAGCAGUGCUAUAUCUAGCGGCAUUUUUCUUCUUGAAAUAUCCCGAAGUGUAUUUUUAUGAGCGAAAGAGACAAAACCGCUGCAUUUAAUUAAUUCCGAAUUUUGUGAGA